AGGACUCUCAUAGUAGUAAUUUCAGUGGAGCACCAAUCGAGUGUGCGUAGUUUUAUCCUCAAGAGGUGUCUGAAGAGAGAGUUUUGAUUGAAUUCCAACUUUAAUGAUGAUGCCUGGAUCAUCAUUGUAUCCGGAGUUUGUGAGAUGAAAUGAACCCUGGCCAUGGUUUGCGACUGUUACCAUCUGACGGGAUACCAUUGCGGGGGUCGAUGCUCGGCUUGUACGCAUCACCCGCAUUGGGCCAGUUCUCAUGCACACUGCCUGGCCCCGACCCCACAUUACCACCCGCCCCACCAUUUACAUUGUAGUGACGGGCCAUAUCAUGGAGCGCCUUGUCAUCCCCAUGUUCACGCCCAUCACAAGCCGUGUUCGUGCUAUCGAGCUGCUUUGGAGUGUCAAAAGCAAGCGGCGAUUAGCAACUACCGAAGUAUGGAGAAAUAUCAUCGAGAGAUCUCGGACUCUUAUCGACACAUGGUCGAGGAUGUCAAGAGACAUCACUCAUUUUAAGUGUUAAUCAACUCUUCAAUUGUUCCCAGUCCAAUUAUAAAGCCAGAGAUGAAUUUGUUUGAAGUGUUUUUUGAAUAAAACGUGCAAUUGUUGCUCACUGCCAACAAAAUUGCUUGGUA